CCGCUGCCCCCGGCCCCCGACCUGCAAGAGGCCGAGGUCCCCAUCAUGAGGACCCGAGCUUGCGAGAGGAUGUAUCACAAAGGCCCCACUGCCCACGGCCAGGUCACCAUCAUCAAGGCUGCCACGCCGUGUGCAGGGAGGAAGGGGCAGGGUUCCUGCCAGGGUGAUGCUGGGACCCCCCGGUCUGUUACCGGCUGGACACCUGGCUCCAGGUUGGCGUGCUGAGCUGGGGCGUGGCCUCCAGGCAUGGGGACUACCCUGGUGUCUACACCUGGGUAAUGACCUAUUCAUCCUGGGUC
rnacentral:lncRNA from 1 species